AGGACUAUAGUUAACAAUAACAUCUGGGUUGCAUUCAGAAGGUAUCAAUCUGAUUAGUCUUG
rnacentral:tRNA from 1 species